rnacentral:lncRNA from 1 species
UGAGUCGUACUCAGGAUCAUCCCGAUCCUCUCCUGACUCUUCUUCACUAAGCUCACAUUAUUCAAGCUCUUCAUCUUUUACCGGCUCAUCGUCCUCUUCUAGUUCCUUCUUCACAGGCUCAUCUACAGGCCUGGAAUGUUGUCCCACAACUGGAAUGAGACUAUGUCUCAGCAAGUUCUACCCCACUAAGACUCGAUUAGGAAACCAAUAUGCUAACCGGGCUGCCUAUACACGCACGGGUCAAAGGACUUACUUGGGCCUCAGAUUCCACCUGCAUAUUAGCACAGUUCAAUAGGCACCCAAGCAAUUACAUCACAGAUCAAUAUCUCGAUCCAUCAACCUAGUCGAUUUCAUGUCAAUUCGACCAUUCCCUAGUCGUUUCCCUUAUUCAAUCUCAAAUCGUACUCACGACUUCACGAGCAUAGUCUAUCAAAUUUCUUGGCAACAAAUUACAGUCCAAAAGACACGACCUAUCUUUAGGUGGCAAAUUACGGCCCAAUGGGCGCGACCUUUUAUAGGUGGUAGAUUACGGCCUUAUCAGGCGCGACCCCUAUCAGGUGGCAGCUUACGACCUUAUCAGGCGCGACCUAUAUCAAGUGGCAGAUUAUGGCCUUAUCAAGCGAGACCGACUCCAAAUUCGGUGGCAGAACUCGGCCCUACUGGCACAGCCAUACUUUGGGCGACUUUCGAGGUUCAACUCACAACCUCUCACAGUCAAAUUCUAAUUGAAUGCCGACACUGAUCAAUUUUGGGAUAAAUCCCCACAUACUCAUCAACUUACUCAAUUUUCACACGAUAUUAACGUACCCGAUGGAUCUUAGCCAAGAGUAUAUUCAAUUCACUCUCACAAACUUCUCCACUUAAUAGCCCAUCAAAGCAUUAUUGACGCUAAACAAUCAUACUCGGCCAUCCGCAACUCAAUUAUUCAAUCUUAAUCAAUUUAGGAAUAAUUCCUCAAAUUGCACAAUUAAUUCAAUUCAGCACAACGUAGAGCUCAAAUAAAUAAAUAGACUGCGCCACGACAAUUAGCACAAGAUUUCGGUCGUCAGCCAUCUCAAACUUAAUUUCCGAAAAAUAAUUAAUUAAUUAAUUAAUUAAUUUCGAAAAUUAAAUAAUUAAUAUUAAAAAUUCGAUUUAGCUCAAAAUAAAGCUCGAUUAAAUAAACGGACUUCACCACGGUCAUCAGCAUAAUAUUCCGGUCACUGGCCAUCCUAGUUGAAUUUUCGGAAAAUAAUUAAUUAAUUAAUUAAUUCCGAAAAAUAAUAUUUAAAUAUAAAAAUUUCCACUUAGGCCCGAAUUGUCAAAUUGAAGCCCGAUAAAGGGUCGGAAAAAUCCCAAGCUACCCUCAAUAAAUAGUAGACCAUGUCUACUUGCUAAAUUCACAUUCAAUUUGUCUAAUUUGCAUCACAAUUAACUAAUAAACACUAAUCUAACCACCUAAUUGCACUUAAUUAAAUCUAAUCAACCCUUAAGCAUCAUUAGUCUACUAAGCAAUGAUUAGUGAGAUUACUCACUUGCGCAAAGUGAAGACCGGGACACUGCAACGACAACGCGACGGCCACUGAAAUCAGGCUUUCGACGACACCGGUAGGCUUGGACCGGGCCUUAAACUUGGCCCAACAAAUCUCAGCCCAAGUUGGGAUUUGUUCUUGCUUUUGGGCUGGACCCAAGUUGGGUUGGGCCUGCUGAAGAUGGGCCGAAAAAUGGGCUUGGGUUGCUGUGAACUGGACCGAAUUCCAAUGGGCUAAGCUACUGGACUUUUGGGCUUCAAAUGGACCAUUUCACGGGCUUGUUGGGCUUGAACACAACCGAAGAUGGGCUUGCUGUAGGACUCACGGGCUGGGCUGAAUCGUGGACUGAAGAACUGCUUCGCUGGGCUGCUCGAAAGAUUUUGUGGACUGAAUCCACCGGGCUGCUAGCUUCGGCGAUGACGGGCCGAAGAAGACACACGGAAUGGAGUUGCUUUGGCGAGGAUGGGAUUCUCGCGGCCUGGCUUCUCGCGGACUGGGACGGCAGCAGCAACUUGCUUCGGUUUCUGCCGUGGUCAACGAGGGAGAAGGGGACGCUUGCUUGUUGACCGAAGAGGCGGAAUCGUGGGACAGAUGGCCACGAAUGAAGGUGGAGAACAGGGCCUUGGGUCUUCGGUGGAGGAACAGAAUCAAGAUGGAGCGGUGGAGAUGCGAACAAGUGGCAACGUGGUCUCCUUUGUUGAUGGUUGACCGAGCAUGGAGGAAGACGUGGACGUGGCAGCUUCAAGAGGUUUCAGUGGGGCGUGACUUCGGUCCGCAACGCUUCAAGGAGUUGGACUGUCUUCGGUGAAUCAAGAGUGGGGCGAAUGAUGGAUGAGACGUUGGGGAUGGGCUGCUUCACUUUGGUGGGUUAUGCGUGGAUGGAGAGAAAAUGGGAAUGAUGGGAUGAUGAUGACCUAAACAACUUCGUGGAGGGAGAUGGAUGUGGGAUGGUGGAUGAAGGGGUGUGUGGCAGCAACAAGGAGAGAAAACGAAAGAGAAGGGAAACGGAGGGGCUGCUGGAUCCGCGUGGCUUCGCUGGCAGGGGAGGUCUUCGGUUCGUGGCAGCUGAGUUUCCCCAAGAAACAAAAUGAAGAAAAUGAUCAAUAGGAGCAGCUGG